UCGUGCAUUUACGUUUCCACUAAUGCAUCGGACACCAUCAGAAGUCCGAAGAUAAGCGGGCAUGGGAGAUAGUAGUACAAAGCUGGGCGACCUCCAGAGAAGUCCUCGUGUUGCACCCC
rnacentral:rRNA from 1 species